UACGUAGGGUGCAAGCGUUGUCCGGAAUUAUUGGGCGUAAAGAGCUCGUAGGCGGUUUGUUGCGUCGGCUGUGAAAUCCCGAGGCUCAACCUCGGGUCUGCAGUCGAUACGAGCAAACUAGAGUGUUGCAGGGGAGACUGGAAUUCCUGGUGUAGCGGUGAAAUGCGCAGAUAUCAGGAGGAACACCGGUGGCGAAGGCGGGUCUCUGGGCCGAUGAC
rnacentral:rRNA from 1 species